UACGUAGGGGGCAAGCGUUGUCCGGAUUUAUUGGGCGUAAAGAGCGUGUAGGCGGCCUGAAAGGUCAGCUGUGAAAACUCGAGGCUCAACCUCGAGACGUCGGUUGAAACCAUCUGGCUAGAGUCCGGAAGAGGAGUGUGGAAUUCCCGGUGUAGCGGUGAAAUGCGCAGAUAUCAGGAGGAACACCAGUGGCGAAGGCGGUUGCCUGGGAGCUUUGCUGACGCUGAGGCGCGAAAGCGUGGGGAGCGAUCCGGA
rnacentral:rRNA from 1 species